rnacentral:pre_miRNA from 1 species
UUAACUUAAAUUUGUAUGGGGAGUUGGUGCGUUUGCCUGCGUUAACCGCUAGGAGCGCUGUUCUAACUGCAUACAAAUUGGACUUA